CGGUGUUUAACUGGCGUGAUGUGGGACGUCCUACCGGUGGGCUUAGCCUCGCGAGGGGCGGCCCAACUAAUAUCCCGUCGCGGUGCUCUUUACUGAGUGUCGAGUCGGGCCGGUACGUUUACUUUGAACAAAUUAGAGUGCUUAAAGCAGGCUAUCCUCGCCUGAAUACUGCGUGCAUGGAAUAAUGGAAUAGGACCUCGGUUCUAUUUUGUUGGUUUUCGGAACCCCGAGGUAAUGAUUAAUAGGGACAGAUGGGGGCAUUCGUAUUGCGACGUUAGAGGUGAAAUUCUUGGAUCGUCGCAAGACGGACAGAAGCGAAAGCAUUUGCCAAAAAUGUUUUCAUUAAUCAAGAACGAAAGUUAGAGGUUCGAAGGCGAUCAGAUACCGCCCUAGUUCUAACCAUAAACGAUGCCAGCUAGCGAUCCGCCGAAGUUCCUCCGAUGACUCGGCGGGCAGCUUCCGGGAAACCAAAGCUUUUGGGUUCCGGGGGAAGUAUGGUUGCAAAGCUGAAACUUAAAGGAAUUGACGGAAGGGCACCACCAGGAGUGGAGCCUGCGGCUUAAUUUGACUCAACACGGGAAACCUCACCAGGCCCAGACACCGGAAGGAUUGACGGGUUGAUAGCUCUUUCUUGAUUCGGUGGGUGGUGGUGCAUGGCCGUUCUUAGUUGGUGGAGCGAUUUGUCUGGUUAAUUCCGAUAACGAACGAGACUCUAGCCUGCUAAAUAGGCGUACCUUAUGGUAUCGCGAAGGCCCCCGGCUUCGGCCGGUGGGUUUUUACUACCAACGUACAAACAAAUCUUCUUAGAGGGACAGGCGG
rnacentral:rRNA from 1 species